CCUGGUGAACGUGGUGUUAGGGACAGGAGAAUAACUUUGUGGCGAACACAAUGUGCUAAAAGUUUAAAGGUGAUGGAUGAGUUGGAUGGAUGAUUCUUUAAUCUGGCAAUCACAAGUACACCACAGAACUGAUGGAAAGCAUUCUGUUUAAAAGUUCAGUUCUUUGGAGUCAUGAAAAAUGUAAUGAGGCCACCAGUGACUCUGGAUGAAGUGCAACAGUCCAUUGAGAUUUUGAACGGCCUUCCAGCACUCUUCCCAUCAGGAGUUGCACCACCACAGAAACUGGGACAGCCACGUGAGGAUCUGUUUCAUAUUCUCAUGCCCUCUGAAAACGCUGCUGCUUUUCUUAGUAGAUGCCGUCUAUCAACCCCCUGCUUCUAACUGACCAGGAUAACUGCAUGAUCAGUGUUGGGAAGAACCCAGUGACAACAUUCCCCGAAGGUCUGCUGCACGAAGGUGUUUUGUAUGUCAUGGCGUAUACGCGCUGCAAGUCAGGUGAUUUUUUUGCAGUGUGUGGGAGGAAACCGGAGCUCCCGGAGGAAACCCACGCAGACACGGGGAGAACUCUACACAGAAAGGACCCGGACCGCCCCACCUGGGGACAGAACCCAGGACCUUCUUGCUGUGAGGCGACAGUGCUACCCACUGAGCCACCAUGAAAAUGCAUACACUAUUUAAAGAGGCAAACAACAAGAAGGAUGUCCACCACAAACUGAGG